rnacentral:lncRNA from 1 species
AUGACCAGUGCCGCCCCCGCCCCUGCUAAGAAACCCUACCGUAAGGCACCACCAGAGCAUCGGGAGCUGCGAUUGGAAAUUCCUGGAUCCCGGCUUGAGCAGGAGGAACCCCUGACUGACGCAGAAAGGAUGAAGCUCUUGCAGCAGGAGAAUGAAGAGCUUCGCCGGCGCCUGGCCUCCGCCACCAGACGCACUGAGGCCCUGGAACGUGAGCUGGAAAUCGGGCAGGACUGCCUGGAGCUGGAGCUGGGCCAGAGCCGCGAGGAGCUGGACAAAUUUAAGGAUAAGUUCCGCAGGCUGCAGAACAGCUACACAGCUUCCCAGCGGACCAACCAGGAGUUGGAGGACAAGCUGCACACACUGGCCUCUCUUAGCCACAACUGGAUUUUUGCAAUCAAGAAGGCUGAGAUGGAUAGGAAGACGCUGGACUGGGAGAUUGUGGAGCUGACCAACAAGCUGCUGGAUGCCAAGAACACCAUUAACAAGCUGGAAGAGCUCAACGAGCGGUACCGACUGGACUGCAACCUGGCUGUGCAGCUCCUCAAGUGCAACAAGUCCCACUUCCGAAACCACAAGUUUGCUGAUCUGCCCUGUGAGCUACAGGACAUGGUUCGGAAACAUCUGCACAGUGGUCAAGAGGCUGCCAGCCCAGGUCCUGCUCCCAGCCUAGCCCCAGGGGCUGUGGUGCCUACCUCGGUCAUUGCCCGAGUGUUAGAGAAGCCGGAGUCUCUACUGCUCAAUUCAGCCCAGUCAGGCAGCGCCGGGCGCCCCUUGGCUGAGGAUGUCUUUGUGCAUGUGGACAUGAGCGAGGGUGUCCCAGGUAAUCCAGCCAGUCCCCCGGCCCCUGGCAGCCCCACCCCGCAACCCAAUGGGGAGUGCCACUCUCUGGAUACUGCCAGGGGCUCCCCGGAGGAAGAGCUGCCCCUGCCAGCCUUUGAGAAGCUGAGCCCCUACCCAACCCCAUCUCCACCACACCCACUGUAUCCUGGCCGCAGGGUAAUAGAGUUCUCUGAGGAUAAGGUUCGGAUCCCCCGCAACAGCCCCCUGCCCAACUGCACUUACGCUACCCGCCAGGCCAUUUCACUGAGCCUGGUGGAGGAGGGGAGUGAGCGGGCCCGCCCUAGCCCAGUGCCCAGUACCCCUGCCUCAGCCCAGGCCUCACCCCACCACCAGCCCAGCCCAGCGCCCCCAACACUCAGUGCCCCAGCUAGCUCUGCCAGCUCUGAAGAGGACCUGCUGGCCAGCUGGCAGCGGGCAUUUGUGGACCGUACUCCGCCACCUGCCGCUGUGGCCCAGCGCACAGCCUUUGGACGCGACGCCCUCCCUGAGCUGCAGCGCCAUUUUGCCCAUAGCCCCGCUGACAGAGAUGAGGUGGUCCAGGCACCUUCUCCCCGACCGGAAGAGAGUGAACUUUUGCUACCCAUAGAACCUGACUCUGGCUUUCCCAGGGAGGAGGAAGAAGAGCUGAACCUGCCCAUCAGCCCUGAGGAAGAGCGCCAGAGCCUGCUGCCCGUUAACAGUGGCACAGAGGAGGGGUCAGGCACUUCCCACACUGAGGGCAGGGCCUGGCCACUCCCCAGCUCCAGCCGCCCCCAGCGCAGCCCCAAGAGGAUGGGGGUUCACCACCUGCACCGCAAGGACAGCCUCACCCAGGCCCAGGAGCAGGGCAACCUGCUCAACUAG